CAGGACCCAGGCCCAGGAGGUGUUGAACAUUGCUGAUGAGGAAUCAGGUACCUUCAACAUUAUGUGACUGCAGAGUGUGCUCUGAAGCAGCUGAAACAAUAUUUGAAGGAAGAAUGUGAAAGCAGUUUGAUCCACUGGGUAUCAGGCAGCAUGGUUGCUGUGCUAAUGAAAAUUUGGAACACCGUUGCAAACUGGAGUGUUGGCAGAAGCAGGAAUUUCUCUCUGCUGUUUAUGAGGUAUAUAAAAAGGUCAGUGUUUUUUUAUAGAUUUUUAGGCUUAGCAAUAUAUUUUUUAAUGAUUUACUUUUUCUUAUUUUGUAACAGCCAUGAUUUUUUGUUCUGGAUAUGGAAUGUAACUUUUUUGAUUGCCUGGCGUGUUGUGGGAAAAUGAAUUGUGUUUCAAAAUUCCAGACACACUUUGACUGUGUUAUUAAGAAAACAUUGCUCCUGGAAUAAUAAAUGGUAGGGCUAUUUUAAGCAGUUUUGUUACAUUUUCUAAAUCUGCAAAAGAAUCAGAACAAUAAAAGAAUGAUCAAGGCUGGAUUUUUUUUUUUUUUUUUUAACAGGCAGGUCAUCAGUUGGCUUAUUGGCAAAACUCCAUUCAUUAUAAUGGACCUACAUGAAUUUCCAGAAGUUGCAGAAUUGGGCAACAGCUUCUUAAGUGUUUCAGAAUCAUUGUCUUUGAUCUGGCACUGCCAACAGUACCAAUUACAAGAUGAUUUUUGUGAUGCUAAUCUUCCCCUCCAUAGAUAAAGGGUAAUAAGUGCUCUUUUGGGCCACUGGACAAAUGAUAUUGGCCAAAAUGAGCCAAUAUAAGAUAGUAAAGUGAGAUUCUGAAUGUGCUAAAAAUACACUGAGCCCUAUAUCAAAUACAGAUACUUUGUUUUUCAACUGAAAUUCAGAUGUUUUAAGUGCAAUAUUCAGUUGUGAAAGGGAUGAGGUCUUCAUUUGAAAAAAAUUGAAGUCUCAG